UACGUAGGUGGCAAGCGUUGUCCGGAUUUACUGGGUGUAAAGGGCGUGUAGGCGGGGAUGCAAGUCAGAUGUGAAAUCCCGCGGCUCAACCGCGGAACUGCAUCUGAAACUGCGUCUCUUGAGUGUCGGAAGGGAAAGUGGAAUUCCUAGUGUAGCGGUGAAAUGCGUAGAUAUUAGGAGGAACACCGGUGGCGAAGGCGGCUUUCUGGCCAGUUACUGACGCUCAUGCGCGAAAGCUGGGGUAGCGAACCGGAUUAGAUACCCUGGUA
rnacentral:rRNA from 1 species